CAUCUCUCCCCAGCACCCCGUCCAGCAGCUGUUUUAACCAGGACAAGGAUGCUUGGAGUUCAGACGUCUCAUCACUUUCACUUUGGGCCUUACAUGGGCAGGAGUGUUUCAGCCACUUUACUCAGCACCAGACAUUGGUGUGUGAAUGCAUGGAUGACCACUCAAAGAAGGACAGUUACAGAAGCAUUGGAGACGAUGCACUUACAGAAACGCCUAAGCCAUAGGGGAGCUCAAGUCACCUAACGCCUCCAACCA